rnacentral:rRNA from 1 species
AGAGUUUGAUCAUGGCUCAGAUUGAACGCUGGCGGCAGGCCUAACACAUGCAAGUCGAACGGUAACAGGAAGCAGCUUGCUGCUUCGCUGACGAGUGGCGGACGGGUGAGUAAUGUCUGGGAAACUGCCUGAUGGAGGGGGAUAACUACUGGAAACGGUGGCUAAUACCGCAUAACGUCGCAAGACCAAAGAGGGGGACCUUCGGGCCUCUUGCCAUCAGAUGUGCCCAGAUGGGAUUAGCUUGUUGGUGAGGUAACGGCUCACCAAGGCGACGAUCCCUAGCUGGUCUGAGAGGAUGACCAGCCACACUGGAACUGAGACACGGUCCAGACUCCUACGGGAGGCAGCAGUGGGGAAUAUUGCACAAUGGGCGCAAGCCUGAUGCAGCCAUGCCGCGUGUAUGAAGAAGGCCUUCGGGUUGUAAAGUACUUUCAGCGGGGAGGAAGGUGUUGCGGUUAAUAACCGCAGCAAUUGACGUUACCCGCAGAAGAAGCACCGGCUAACUCCGUGCCAGCAGCCGCGGUAAUACGGAGGGUGCAAGCGUUAAUCGGAAUUACUGGGCGUAAAGCGCACGCAGGCGGUCUGUCAAGUCGGAUGUGAAAUCCCCGGGCUCAACCUGGGAACUGCAUUCGAAACUGGCAGGCUUGAGUCUUGUAGAGGGGGGUAGAAUUCCAGGUGUAGCGGUAAAAUGCUAAGAGAUCUGGAGCAACACCGGUGGCGAAGGCGGCCCCCUAGCCAACGAAUGCCGCUCAGGUGCGAAAGCGUGGGCAGCAAACAGGAUUAUAUCCCCUGGUAGUCAACGCCGUAAACGAUGUCUACUUGGAGGUUGUGCCCUU